rnacentral:rRNA from 1 species
ACUCCUACGGGAGGCAGCAGUGGGGAAUUUUGGACAAUGGGCGAAAGCCUGAUCCAGCAAUGCCGCGUGAGUGAAGAAGGCCUUCGGGUUGUAAAGCUCUUUUGUCAGGGAAGAAACGGUGAGAGCUAAUAUCUUUUGCUAAUGACGGUACCUGAAGAAUAAGCACCGGCUAACUACGUGCCAGCAGCCGCGGUAAUACGUAGGGUGCAAGCGUUAAUCGGAAUUACUGGGCGUAAAGCGUGCGCAGGCGGUUUUGUAAGUCUGAUGUGAAAUCCCCGGGCUCAACCUGGGAAUUGCAUUGGAGACUGCAAGGCUAGAAUCUGGCAGAGGGGGGUAGAAUUCCACGUGUAGCAGUGAAAUGCGUAGAUAUGUGGAGGAACACCGAUGGCGAAGGCAGCCCCCUGGGUCAAGAUUGACGCUCAUGCACGAAAGCGUGGGGAGCAAACAGGAUUAGAUACCCCAGUAGUCCCAUGAU